AGAACACUAGAUGGAGCUGCUUCUUUGCCUUCCAGGGCUCAGCACCUCCUGGCGCCCGCAGCGGCGCUCCGGCCGGCUGCAGGACAAGGACAGCGCCAUCCGCCAGCCGAGCCCCGGAGGAGACGCGGUCCUCUGCUGCAGGGUGGAGCGUAUCUUUCGCCGGGACAGCUAGGGGGCUUGCGAGCCUGCUAGUCAGCUCUGCUCUUCUGCCUCUGGAAGCGAGAGAUCAAGUGAUUCAAACCAGGGGUUCACUGCCUCUACCUUAGGGACUCAGCAGAAGCAGAAUCCAUAAACGUGCUCUUCUGCGACAACCUUGAUUUAUCCUUCUCAGAAGCGAAUAUAUCCCUACAGAAAGGCACAAAGAAGGGUUCAGUGCCUGUGUAUUGUCUGCUGAGAAGUAACAUUACAUCAUCGUGGGGAGAAGGGACUUAGCAGGAUUGGUCCAUAAACUCCCUAGGGCGUACUGGGUCACUCUCCCUCUCAGGUCUGGCUAGCCAGCCCCGCGCUGGGCACUGUAGACUCCUGGCCCUAGAGGGCUUCGCUCUGACCUCUGCCCCGGGACCAUCCGUUCCCAAUAGACCCACCAGCCACCAUCGUGUUCUCCGCAGUGCUUUUUCUUCUGUUUAUUUGUUCCUUUCUUUAUGGUCUGUCACUGCACAAGACUGUGACUUCCCCGGGUACCUAGUCUCCUCUAAGCAUUGCCGUCGUGCCCUAGAAGAGUGUUGGGCGCCUACUGGGCGCUCAGUGAAUGCUUUGUGGAUUGGACGUUACUCCAAGCUCCACCUGCAUCUGUGCGUGGGUCUCCUCCCGCCUGUGCAUGCUGUCCCUGUGCCACAGUUUUUGUCAACUCGCUUGUGGAACUAUAGCCCUUCCUCGAAUAUCCUUGAAAAAUUCCUGCAGAAGACGCCUCUGGUGUGAAGCCUGCUGGGAGAAUCAGGGAGGAAAGAGAGAAUUACACCAUCCUCUUCUGGGGAGCAUUUUGUCAAGAGGCUGUUAA
rnacentral:lncRNA from 1 species